GUUCAGGUUACAUCUCAGCUCGUCAAUUCCAUCAGCUUUGCUGCUGUGCGUUGCUUUCCCCAUGGCAAAAACAAAGUCCAGAUGAUAGAAACAGACCCAGAAGAGUCAGCAGACAGCAAAAGGCAAGGCUGGGAGGGAUUCUGGCCCAACUGUGCUAGGUUGGUCCUGAGGACUCGUUUCAGGACCCCUGCCUCAAAGAGCAAAGUGGACUCCAGGGAGAAGAAGCAGACAGCUUCCCAAACAUAGGGAGCACCACAGGACAAAGACCAAGGAGACCCGAGGUCUAAAGUGAAGGGGGGCAGGGAUGCAGACCAAAGGAUCCCUUUGGGCUGAGAUUGAGGAAGAAGAGCAUACCCGCAACAACAGGAGCUUCAACAGAAGUUCAUUUGUCUCUCAUGUGAGUGAGGCAAGUCCGUCAGAGCUGGUAGGCGGUCUUUCCUGGCUGCUCCAACGUCCUCAGCGGGCAGCUGCCAUGUCGUUAUCCGAGGCUGUUGCUCAUGGCCAAGCCACCUUGUUCACAUUCCAGGCAGAAAGGAAAAAGAGAGGAAGAAUCACAUGCGCCUCCCAUGAGGACUCAUCCUGGAAAUUGUACUGUCCACAUUUAGCAUUCACUUAGCAUGUUGUCGUAGGACUUCGCCUAGCUGCAAAGGAUCCUAGGAAAUGUAGUCUAUUCUGGGAGUCCAUGUGCCUAUUAGGGAAUGCUACUGAAAGAAGUAUGGAUCCUGGGGUGCCACCUGUUAAGUGCACCUGUUAGGGGCAUAAUCAAAUCUGUGGCUUUUGGGGUAGAGUUCAAAGACUACUGCUAUGGAUUAUAUACCCUAGAAGUACAUAUAAUUGAUUGAAGGUAGGAGUGAGGGAUCUCCCCCCCGCCACCAUCUUGCAUCCAUCCAUCUUUCUACUGUCAAAACAGUAUGGAGAACUUUGUGUGUGGGCUCUUCCCUCCCCCAUUCUCAGCCAUGCAGUUGAGGCUAAUUAGUCUUGGCUAAUUAGUCUUGGCUCACCAACUUCUCCCACACCCUUGGCCAAUAGGACUGGUGCGGGUUGCUGGGAGUCAGGCCCGAGACUUCCAUUCACCUCUUAGAAUGGGAAUAGUAGACAUAAAGCUAUCAGCACAUGAGGUCUGGAGCCACCCAAGCCCUCCUAGCAUCCAAGUAGGAGAGCACAGCCCACAUCUGGAGGAGAGGUGAGCCACGCCAAGAGAGGACCAGAUCUCGGGGACACUGUUUUAGCUCCUAUAUCAAGCUGCAUCUAAACACAGCAUGACUUGUGAUGAGGAGCCAUCUUGGACCAGGUGCAUGACGUCAACCCCCUAGAACAGGCAGAGGAACUAAGGUGGAAAGAGCCUGGGACAGGUGACUUCCUGGAGCAGAACCACAGUCUCUGGCUAAACGUUUAUGUGAAAGAGAAAUCUAUUUCCAUCUUAUUAAAAGUAAUUGUUUACUUAAGA